rnacentral:sRNA from 1 species
UGACGGGCGCGGGUUUCGGCGACGGAGU